rnacentral:rRNA from 1 species
CCUACGGGAGACAGCAGUAGGGAAUAUUGCACAAUGGGGGAAACCCUGAAGCAGCAACGCCGCGUGGAGGAUGAAGGUUUUCGGAUUGUAAACCCCUUUUGUUAGAGAAGAAAAUGACGGUAUCUAACGAAUAAGCACCGGCUAACUACGUGCCAGCAGCCGCGGUAAUACGGAGGGGGCAAGCGUUACUCGGAAUCACUGGGCGUAAAGAGCGCGUAGGCGGGAUAGCAAGUCAGAUGUGAAAGCCUAUGGCUUAACCCUAGAACUGCAUUUGAAACUGUUAUUCUAGAGUAUGGGAGAGGUAGGUGGAAUUCUUGGUGUAGCGGUGAAAUCCGUAGAGAUCAGGAGGAAUACUCAUUGCGAAGGCGGCCUGCUAGACCAUAACUGACGCUGAUGCGCGAAAGCGUGGGGAGCAAACAGGAUUAGAUACCCCUGUAGUC